ACGGAAGGCAGCAGUGGGGAAUAUUGCACAAUGGGGGAAACCCUGAUGCAGCGACGCCGCGUGAGUGAAGAAGUAUUUCGGUAUGUAAAGCUCUAUCAGCAGGGAAGAUAAUGACGGUACCUGACUAAGAAGCCCCGGCUAACUACGUGCCAGCAGCCGCGGUAAUACGUAGGGGGCAAGCGUUAUCCGGAUUUACUGGGUGUAAAGGGAGCGUAGGUGGCGUGGCAAGUCAGAAGUGAAAGCCCGGGGCUCAACCCCGGGACUGCUUUUGAAACUGUCAUGCUGGAGUGCAGGAGAGGUAAGUGGAAUUCCUAGUGUAGCGGUGGAAUGCGUAGAUAUUAGGAAGAACACCGGUGGCGAAGGCGGCUAACUGGACGAAAACUGACGCUGAGGCUCGAAAGCGUGGGGAGCAAACAGGAUUAGAUACCCUGGUA
rnacentral:rRNA from 1 species